AUCAGAUCAGUUACAAUGCCUGGCAAAAUGUUUUACACAACUCAGGAACCACAUCAACAACACACUGUAAUCGUCCCAAAAUCCACACAGAAACUAUGCAGAAUAUGUCAGAGAGGAAUGUACCCACCCCUCUUCUGCCUGCGCCUCUCCCCUCACCCCCGCCCCCAUCCCCUUGGCCCUCUGCAUACCACUUGAGACUCCUGCUCCUAAUAUAGACCCAACUGGUUUGUGGGAUAGGCAUGGGGAGAGGAGCCUGCGUGUAGCAGGACCUAGCGUUUUGUUGUUGGGUGCGUAGUGCCCAACUCUUUUAUGGAGAGAAUACUUAUAUGGCAGAUCUCGUUUCAAGAGAUGCGUGAACAGUGGUUGUUUCGGUCGAGGGCGUGGUCAAGUGCCUCCCUGACGAGACCCCCGGAGACCGUCAUCGAUCGCAUCAUUAAGGCUGAGGUUAGUGUCCCACUCUGCUCCUCCCCCCAGGGUUGUGUCCAUAAGGCACCAAAUGGAAGAAAACAGGCUGCAACAGGGAGGGACUAGCUGAACGUGUAUGAUCCAGGUCAUGUCCUCUGUCACAGUGGCCCUGCCUCUCCACUCCACCUAUGAGUUUGUUUUAAAAAUACAUGAAAGUAAUGGGUUAUGCCAUGCUGUAACAUUUCACUCUAUUAGCCCACACAAUGAAAUAUAAAUAGAGUUAUGAAGGUUUGUGACAUUAGGCCACUAGUAUUUGUAUGUAUUUCAAUGUAUUAACUGUAGACUGUAUAGGUUAUAGCCCUCUGUUUCUUACUGCUCUGCUCUACUCUACUUAACUACCGGUACGCCCUUGUUGUGUAACCACGGCCAACCAUUUUCCGCCACACACUCCCAUCCUGCCCCAUCCUCUCCCCAUUCUGCCCCAAUUUUCUCCCCAUUCUACCCCAUCCUGCCCCAAUCCACUAUCCAUCCUCUCCCCAUACUGUCCUCAUCCUGUCCCCAUCCUCUCCCAAUCGUGCCCUCCAUCCUCUCUCCAUCCUGUCCCCGUCUUACCCCCCAUCCUGCCCCAUUGCUCUCUCCAUCCUCCCCCCCCCCCCUUCAACUCCUCAUCCUG
rnacentral:lncRNA from 1 species